rnacentral:rRNA from 1 species
GGAGGGAAACCGAGUCUUAAUUGGGCGUUAAGUUGCAGGGUAUAGACCCGAAACCCGGUGAUCUAGCCAUGGGCAGGUUGAAGGUUGGGUAACACUAACUGGAGGACCGAACCGACUAAUGUUGAAAAAUUAGCGGAUGACCUGUGGCUGGGGGUGAAAGGCCAAUCAAACCGGGAGAUAGCUGGUUCUCCCCGAAAGCUAUUUAGGUAGCGCCUCGUGAAUUCAUCUCCGGGGGUAGAGCACUGUUUCGGCUAGGGGGCCAUCCCGGCUUACCAACCCGAUGCAAACUGCGAAUACCGGAGAAUGUUAUCACGGGAGACACACGGCGGGUGCUAACGUCCGUCGUGAAGAGGGAAACAACCCAGACCGCCAGCUAAGGUCCCAAAGUCAUGGUUAAGUGGGAAACGAUGUGGGAAGGCCCAGACAGCCAGGAUGUUGGCUUAGAAGCAGCCAUCAUUUAAAGAAAGCGUAAUAGCUCACUGGUCGAGUCGGCCUGCGCGGAAGAUGUAACGGGGCUAAACCAUG